AGCUUUAGCUGAGGUGAGACAGAGCCAAUUUUUAAUUUUAAAAAGAAAAGUGAAGCAGGACGCUAACAAAAAUCUCGGCACAUAGGCAAUCAAGCAACAUUAAUCUAUUUGGAAACCAUGUUAAACAAUGUUGGAGGCCAAUUGAAACAAUGUUGGAGGAAAUAACAUGUGAUUUACUGAAAUGGGAUUGAUCAAACAGAUAGCUCGAUCUCAUUCAGUUGAGAAAAGCAAGUAUCCUAUCUUCGAUUACACCUGCUAUAAAAUCGCUCAAACAAUGUGCAGGCAGUGCCUGAAACAGUAUGAUGACUUCCAGCCGUACUUCUAGAUGUUCAAACUAGCAAACUUUAAACAAGCCAAUCAUAGCCUCCAUGGGAAGCUUCCUUAUUCACACGGGCAGCCCAC
rnacentral:lncRNA from 1 species